ACACACCAACAUCAUCAACAUUAAAUCUAAACAAGCCCUACCCAUUUCUUCUCUUUUCUUCCUCCAUAUCCAUACAUGACCCAGAUGGGGUGGAUGAAGAAUUAGGGAAAAGCAUGCAUGAAAUUGGGAGAUAGAUAUGAGAAAAAAAUAGAGAGGACAUGGGUAGAGAGAGAAAUAAGGGAAAAAAAAUCAAGUCAUAGUACAUAAGAGGUUCAAAGGAAGAACCCAAAAGCAAGAGCAAGCAAAGAAGCAAAGAAUGUGGGAAUAAAAACAGAAGCAUCAGAAGUAGGGCUAGGUGCUGGUGCAUGAGCUGCUGCAGCCAUUUGCAUGGUGGAGAAAGCCAUCAACACAACCAUCAAAACAACAAACAGAUUCAUCUUCAUUGCUUCCAUCUCUUUA
rnacentral:lncRNA from 1 species